rfam:Alligator mississippiensis ScZkoYb_419, whole genome shotgun sequence.
UGCCUGUGAUGACUCGCCAUGCUAAUACCGACCUCUGGCAAGGCACGUGUCUCUGCUCUAGGGGCAUGAGUUAAAAGUCUUCUUUCAAGGUCUGAGGCAC